rfam:Canis lupus familiaris chromosome X, whole genome shotgun sequence.
AGGAGGAACAACCCCAGUGACAGAGGCCAGCUCUGGAGCCCUGGAUUCAGCUCCUGCAGGAACUAUGGAGCUCUCCGUCUGCAGGGGGCUGGAUGCUCCGGCGGCGG